rnacentral:rRNA from 1 species
GAUGAACGCUGGCGGCGUGCUUAACACAUGCAAGUCGAACGAUGAAGCCCAGCUUGCUGGGUGGAUUAGUGGCGAACGGGUGAGUAACACGUGAGUAACCUGCCCUUAACUCUGGGAUAAGCCUGGGAAACUGGGUCUAAUACCGGAUAGGAGCGUCCACCGCAUGGUGGGUGUUGGAAAGAUUUAUCGGUUUUGGAUGGACUCGCGGCCUAUCAGCUUGUUUGUGAGGUAAUGGCUCACCAAGGCGACGACGGGUAGCCGGCAUGAGAGGGUUACCGGCCACACUGGGACUGAGACACGGCACAGACUACAACGGGAGGCAGCAGUGGGGAAUAUUGCACAAUGGGCGCAAGCCUGAUGCAGAGACGCCGCGUGAGGGAUGACGGCCUUCGGGUUGUAAACCUCUUUCAGUAGGGAAGAAGCGAAAGUGACGGUACCUGCAGAAGAAGCACCGGCUAACUACGUG